GUGUCCUACGGGGGGCAGCAGUGGGGAAUUUUCCGCAAUGGGCGAAAGCCUGACGGAGCAAUGCCGCGUGGAGGUGGAAGGCCUACGGGUCGUCAACUUCUUUUCUCGGAGAAGAAACAAUGACGGUAUCUGAGGAAUAAGCAUCGGCUAACUCUGUGCCAGCAGCCGCGGUAAGACAGAGGAUGCAAGCGUUAUCCGGAAUGAUUGGGCGUAAAGCGUCUGUAGGUGGCUUUUCAAGUCCGCCGUCAAAUCCCAGGGCUCAACCCUGGACAGGCGGUGGAAACUACCAAGCUGGAGUACGGUAG
rnacentral:rRNA from 1 species